UCGACUUACGGGACGCAGCAGUCGAGAAUCAUUCACAAUGGGGGAAACCCUGAUGGUGCGACGCCGCGUGGGGGAAUGAAGGUCUUCGGAUUGUAAACCCCUGUCAUGUGGGAGCAAAUUAAAAAGAUAGUACCACAAGAGGAAGAGACGACUAACUCUGUGCCAGCAGCCGCGGUAAUACAGAGGUCUCAAGCGUUGUUCGGAAUCACUGGGCGUAAAGCGUGCGUAGGCUGUUUCGUAAGUCGUGUGUGAAAGGCGCGGGCUCAACCCGCGGACGGCACAUGCUACUGCGAGACUAGAGUAAG
rnacentral:rRNA from 1 species